GAUGAACGCUGGCGGCGUGCCUAAUACAUGCAAGUCGAGCGAACGGACGAGAAGCUUGCUUCUCUGAUGUUAGCGGCGGACGGGUGAGUAACACGUGGAUAACCUACCUAUAAGACUGGGAUAACUUCGGGAAACCGGAGCUAAUACCGGAUAAUAUUUUGAACCGCAUGGUUCAAAAGUGAAAGACGGUCUUGCUGUCACUUAUAGAUGGAUCCGCGCUGCAUUAGCUAGUUGGUAAGGUAACGGCUUACCAAGGCAACGAUGCAUAGCCGACCUGAGAGGGUGAUCGGCCACACUGGAACUGAGACACGGUCCAGACUCCUACGGGAGGCAGCAGUAGGGAAUCUUCCGCAAUGGGCGAAAGCCUGACAGAGCAACGCCGCGUGAGUGAUGAAGGUCUUCGGAUCGUAAAACUCUGUUGUUAGGGAAGAACAUAUGUGUAAGUAACUGUGCACAUCUUGACGGUACCUAAUCAGAAAGCCACGGCUAACUACGUG
rnacentral:rRNA from 1 species